rnacentral:rRNA from 1 species
UACAGAGGGUGCGAGCGUUGUCCGGAAUCACUGGGCGUAAAGGGUGAGUAGGUGGCCUGUUAAGCGUGUGGUGAAAGCCUGGGGCUCAACCCCAGGUCUGCCGUGCGAACUGACAGGCUUGAGCAGAGUAGAGGCGAGUGGAAUUUCGGGUGUAGCGGUGGAAUGCGUAGAUAUCCGAAAGAACACCGGUGGCGAAGGCGACUCGCUGGACGGCAACUGACGCUGAGGCACGAAAGCGUGGGGAGCAAACAGG